UACGUAGGGUGCAAGCGUUGUCCGGAAUUAUUGGGCGUAAAGAGCUCGUAGGUGGCCUGUCGCGUCGGCUGUGAAAACUCGGGGGCUCAACUCCGAGCUUGCAGUCGAUACGGGCAGGCUAGAGUUCGGCAGGGGGAGACUGGAAUUCCUGGUGUAGCGGUGGAAUGCGCAGAUAUCAGGAGGAACACCGGUGGCGAAGGCGGGUCUCUGGGCCGUUACUGACGCUGAGGAGCGAAAGCGUGGGGAGCGAACAGG
rnacentral:rRNA from 1 species